UACGGGGGGGGCAAGCGUUGUUCGGAAUUACUGGGCGUAAAGGGCUCGUAGGUGGCCAACUAAGUCGGACGUGAAAUCCCUCGGCUUAACCGGGGAACUGCGUCCGAUACUGGUUGGCUUGAGUUUGGGAGAGGGAUGCGGAAUUCCAGGUGUAGCGGUGAAAUGCGCAGAUAUCGGGAGGAACACCAGUAGCGAAGGCGGCUCGCUGGGCCAUUCCUGACGCUGAGACGCGAAAGCUAGGGGAGCGAACAGG
rnacentral:rRNA from 1 species